GACGAACGCUGGCGGCGUGCUUAACACAUGCAAGUCGAACGGGAUUUAGUAAACAGAAACCUCGGUGGAAGAUUACUAAUGAGAGUGGCGAACGGGUGAGUAACGCGUGAGCAACCUGCCUAUGACAGUGGGAUAGCCUCGGGAAACCGGGAUUAAUACCGCAUAAAAUCGUAGAAACACAUGUUUUAACGGUCAAAGAUUUAUCGGUCAUAGAUGGGCUCGCGUCUGAUUAGCUAGUUGGUGAGAUAACAGCCCACCAAGGCGACGAUCAGUAGCCGGUCAGAGAGGAUGAGCGGCCACAUUGGAACUGAGACACAGUCCAAACUCCUACGGGAGGCAGCAGUGGGGAAUAUUGCACAAUGGGGGGAGCCCUGAUGCAGCGACGCCGCGUGAACGAAGAAGGUAUUCAUAUCGUAAAGUUCUGUCCUAUGGGAAGAUAAUGACAGUACCAUAGAAGAAAGCUCCGGCUAAAUACGUG
rnacentral:rRNA from 1 species